UACGGGAGGCAGCAGUGGGGAAUAUUGCACAAUGGGCGAAAGCCUGAUGCAGCUAUGCCGCGUGUAUGAAGAAGGCCUUAGGGUUGUAAAGUACUUUCAUCGGGGAGGAAAAAACAAAACUAAUAAUUUUAUUUCUUGACGUUACCCGAAAAAGAAGCACCGGCUAACUCCGUGCCAGCAGCCGCGGUAAUACGGAGGGUGCUAGCGUUAAUCAGAAUUACUGGGCGUAAAGAGCAUGUAGGUGGUUUUUUUUAAAGUCAGAUGUGAAAUCCCUGGGCUUAACCUAGGAACUGCAUUUUGAAACUGAAAUACUAGAGUAUCGUAGAGGGAGGUAGAAUUCUAGGUGUAGCGGUGAAAUGCGUAGAUAUCUGGAGGAAUACCUGUGGCGAAAGCGGCCUCCUAAACGAAUACUGACACUGAGGUGCGAAAGCGUGGGGAGCAAACAGGGAUUAGAUACC
rnacentral:rRNA from 1 species